CCUACGGGUGGCAGCAGUGGGGAAUAUUGGACAAUGGGGGGAACCCUGAUCCAGCCAUGCCGCGUGUGUGAAGAAGGCCCUCGGGUUGUAAAGCACUUUCAGUGAGGAAGAACGCCUGGUGGUUAAUACCCAUCAGGAAAGACAUCACUCACAGAAGAAGCACCGGCUAACUCCGUGCCAGCAGCCGCGGUAAUACGGAGGGUGCGAGCGUUAAUCGGAAUUACUGGGCGUAAAGCGCGCGUAGGUGGCUUGAUAAGCCGGUUGUGAAAGCCCCGGGCUCAACCUGGGAACGGCAUCCGGAACUGUCAAGCUAGAGUGCAGGAGAGGAAGGUAGAAUUCCCGGUGUAGCGGUGAAAUGCGUAGAGAUUGGGAGGAAUACCAGUGGUGAAGGCGGCCUUCUGGACUGACACUGACACUGAGGUGCGAAAGCGUGGGUAGCAAACAGGAUUAGAUACCCUGGUAGUC
rnacentral:rRNA from 1 species